UACGUAGGGUGCAAGCGUUGUCCGGAAUUAUUGGGCGUAAAGAGCUCGUAGGCGGUUUGUCGCGUCUGCUGUGAAAACUCAGGGCUCAACCCUGAGCGUGCUUCCGAUACGGGCAGACUAGAGGUAUUCAGGGGAGAACGGAAUUCCUGGUGUAGCGGUGGAAUGCGCAGAUAUCAGGAGGAACACCGGUGGCGAAGGCGGUUCUCUGGGAAUUACCUGACGCUGAGGAGCGAAAGCAUGGGGAGCGAACAGG
rnacentral:rRNA from 1 species